AGUGAACGCUGGCGGUAGGCCUAACACAUGCAAGUCGAACGGCAGCACAGUAAGAGCUUGCUCUUACGGGUGGCGAGUGGCGGACGGGUGAGGAAUACAUCGGAAUCUACUUUUUCGUGGGGGAUAACGUAGGGAAACUUACGCUAAUACCGCAUUCGACCUACGGGUGAAAGCAGGGGAUCUUCGGACCUUGCGCGAUUGAAUGAGCCGAUGUCGGAUUAGCUAGUUGGCGGGGUAAAGGCCCACCAAGGCGACGAUCCGUAGCUGGUCUGAGAGGACGAUCAGCCACACUGGAACUGAGACACGGUCCAGACUCCUACGGGAGGCAGCAGUGGGGAAUAUUGGACAAUGGGCGCAAGCCUGAUCCAGCCAUACCGCGUGGGUGAAGAAGGCCUUCGGGUUGUAAAGCCCUUUUGUUGGGAAAGAAAAGCAGCAGGUUAAUACCCCGCUGUUCUGACGGUACCCAAAGAAUAAGCACCGGCUAACUUCGUG
rnacentral:rRNA from 1 species